GACAACUUAUUUCUAUAUGCUAGCGAACAUGAGUGUCGAACUUCAAAGACAGAUUGGCAAAGUGAAAGCCGCCAAAUGUAUCAUUGAUCAACUUGGGAAGUUGUUAGGAUAUAUUAAGAGUACAAGUUAGCAAUACAGUUAGAAAAACAGUUAGCAAUACAGUUAGCAAGUUUGUUAGUAUUUAAUUAGAGUUGUUAGGUUUUCUAGUAAAAAACAAUGUGUAAUCUUCAUUCUCUUAAGUCAAUAUACAAGUCUCAUAUUUCUCUAUCUAAAUUCUUUUUAUUUCAUCUUUCUCGGUUACUCUUUCCUCUCCAUUUUAUCUUGGAUUCUCAAAUAUUUCAACGUAGUUAAUAUGGUUUCACAGCCAUCAGGUUCAUGCCAUGGAUUCUAGUGGUUCCCUUCUCAUUAGUUUCAUCUUUUUCUAGUCUUUAUUUCUUUUUUAAUUUUCUUUAGAAAUUCCGUUAAUUUCCUCGGUGCUUCCACAAUCGUUCAAUUCGUUAUGUAACUUCUGGGUUAAUUUUCUUCUCGAAUUUUCUGUUCUUGAAUUGUUGGUUCUUGAAUUUGGGGUCUUUUCAUAUUUUCAUCAAGUCCUUCACCUCCUGAUACAAGGACAGAAAAUGGGUGUUCCAAGAAGCCAGCGGCAAUGGAUCAUGGUGGACGGGAGUCUGAGACCGGUCUUGGUCAGGCUAAUCGUCGUUAUCGACGUCAUCUUGGAAGGGCUCAGGAGACGGGUCGCGACCAUAUCAAGAGCAGCAGUCAGCCUUUCAAUUGAUGCCUUCAAUUACCCUACAGCUGAAACAGAGGCUUGUCCGCACUGCUUCUUGUCCUGUUCCCAACCAUCGAACAUCACCACUCCGAUUUUUCACUCAACAAGAUCAAGAUCACAUAGUCUGUGAUUUUAGAGAUGGAGGUGAUUUCAGCAAGGAAAUAUAUUUGGAGUUUGGGGUAUAUGAUUUCGUUCUUAAUUCUUGGUUCAAUUGACUGGAGAUAUGGGUAUACUUACUUGGCAGAAGUGGAAAUGGAUGUGAUGUGGAUAUUAUGGAGGAAGUAGAAUCAGUUGUAGUUGAAUUCGGAUCAAUGAGUCAGGUUUGAACAAGAAAGACAAGUUGUAUGACAUUACAUUCGAAAUGUUUGCUGAUUCCCAAAAGAAAAGGAGAGCUCAAGCAACAAGUUUUUUGGUGACUUGAGACUGUAACAGGGGAAUCUUGUUCAAGUGAUUACUUGGCAGUUGUGAUCCCGUGGACACAUCUUUCCUUCUGAGAUAUCCUAUUUCACCAACCACAAGCAAAGGAAUUUCACCUAAUUGACUGGUGGUCCAUUGCCUCCAAUUCAAUCUUGUAGUUUAUUGGCAGUUGUAUGUUAAGGUUGAUCUUUUGAGGAGGAUAUCCACUUCCCAUCUGUAAUUGGUCCACCUACUGACUUAUUCAAUAAUGUUUUCUAUGCGAAGCUAUACCACUACAGAUUUCCAUGCCUCACUGUAAGUGAAGUUAAUUGCUGACAGAACACAAGCAGCUUAUAUUAUCAAGUCUAACAAACUUAGUUGCAGCAUGUAUCCACUUAAGGCAAUGGGACAAAUUUGGACUGUUUCCACAAACAAAGGCUUUUGGUCAGCAGCUACAGAGGUGGAAACAUCAGUUUGAGGGGCAGCAGUUUGGAUAUUUACGGAUUCUAUUUGUUUGGAAUACCAGAACAUGGAUUUGAUAGGGGUUUUGGCAACUCCAAAACCUAAAUUUUAUAUCUCAGCUCAAGGAUGUAAAUUUGGUUUCUGAAGGGUAUAAUGACUCUAAUCUAAUCGAGUUUGCAAGGCAUGUACUAUCUGGUAUGUUGGAUGGGCAUGGACUUUACGCUCAAAUGUGUUGAGCUUCAAGAUCAACAAGAGACAGAAGUAGUGAUUGCAAAUGUUCUUCUAAUCUCAAACUGUUUUCCCCAGUUGAAAUUGAGGGGGAGUAUUAAGGGUAUAAGUCAGCAAUACAGUUAGAAAUACAAUUAGCAAGUUUGUUAGUAUUUGGUUAGAGUUGUUAGGCUUUCCAGUAUAAAAAUAGAGUGUGUAAUCUUCAUUCUUUUAAGUCAAUAUACAAGUCUCAUAUUUCUCUA